CAUCUCUCUUGUCUUCUAUCCAUCCACAACAUCAUAUUUUCCUGACUCAGUUAUUUCCCACCGAGUUCCUCCCACAACACUCGGGAAUUACGGGAUCUACAAUUCAAGAUGAGAUUUAGCGGGGGACAAAGCCAAACCAUAUCACCUUGCUUCCUUCUCCAACUCUAAAGAAAUUGCAGUGAACUUCAUGGUUAGACUCAGGAACAUAUGCCUGCACCCACAAUUCAGCCUCAGACAUUUACUAGCUCUCUGUUUUGAAUUAUGUCAUAGCAGGAUCCGUGAGGAAGCAUAGCUACACAUGACACAAGCCCUGUAGUAAGAUCUUUCAAUUUAUUUAGGAGAUGGGUCAAGAUAUUUCUUCACAAGAUCAUUUAAAUGACCUUGUAAAGGUCACACACAUAUACAUACACGUGUGUGUGUUUGAUUUAUACCUCUAUAGCCUAAGUUGAAGACACUUGUGUAAUCCAUUCAACAUAUACUACCACCUGUGGAAACUAAUUGCCAGGUUCGCUGGGAGCUUUUUCAGCUAGGUAAGUAUUGAACAUACUGUCCUG
rnacentral:lncRNA from 1 species